rnacentral:rRNA from 1 species
CCUACGGGCGGCAGCAGUGGGGAAUAUUGGACAAUGGGGGCAACCCUGAUCCAGCCAUGCCGCGUGUGUGAAGAAGGCCCUCGGGUUGUAAAGCACUUUCAGUGAGGAAGAACGCCUGGUGGUUAAUACCCAUCAGGAAAGACAUCACUCACAGAAGAAGCACCGGCUAACUCCGUGCCAGCAGCCGCGGUAAUACGGAGGGUGCGAGCGUUAAUCGGAAUUACUGGGCGUAAAGCGCGCGUAGGUGGCUUGAUAAGCCGGUUGUGAAAGCCCCGGGCUCAACCUGGGAACGGCAUCCGGAACUGUCAAGCUAGAGUGCAGGAGAGGAAGGUAGAAUUCCCGGUGUAGCGGUGAAAUGCGUAGAGAUCGGGAGGAAUACCAGUGGCGAAGGAGGCCUCCUGGACUGACACUGACACUGAGGUGCGAAAGCGUGGGUAGCAAACAGGAUUAGAUACCCUAGUAGUC